rnacentral:hammerhead_ribozyme from 1 species
AUCCAGCUGGCGAGUCCCAAACAAGACGAAACGCGCGUCCUGGAU